rnacentral:pre_miRNA from 1 species
UGUCAAUUUGCGACGAGGCAAGAUGCUGGCAUUGCUGCCAGUCCCGCUAAAUGCGCUCUCGGCAGCUCGACGGCAUUUGCUUCAUCGCAUUGAUAACGCUCG